rnacentral:tRNA from 1 species
GCCGGGCUGGUACAGGGUGCUUUCGGUGUCUCGUUUGCACUGGGCAUGUUGUUCUGGGCACCACGUGGUCGCUCCAUGAGCUCGGCCC